rnacentral:rRNA from 1 species
GACGAACGCUGGCGGCGUGCCUAAUACAUGCAAGUAGAACGCACAGUUUAUACCGUAGCUUGCUACACCAUAGACUGUGAGUUGCGAACGGGUGAGUAACGCGUAGGUAACCUGCCUGGUAGCGGGGGAUAACUAUUGGAAACGAUAGCUAAUACCGCAUAAUAUUCAUUAUUGCAUGAUAAUUGAUUGAAAGAUGCAACUGCAUCACUACCAGAUGGACCUGCGUUGUAUUAGCUAGUAGGUGAGGUAACGGCUCACCUAGGCGACGAUACAUAGCCGACCUGAGAGGGUGAUCGGCCACACUGGGACUGAGACACGGCCCAGACUCCUACGGGAGGCAGCAGUAGGGAAUCUUCGGCAAUGGACGAAAGUCUGACCGAGCAACGCCGCGUGAGUGAAGAAGGUUUUCGGAUCGUAAAGCUCUGUUGUAAGAGAAGAACGGGUGUGAGAGUGGAAAGUUCACACUGUGACGGUAUCUUACCAGAAAGGGACGGCUAACUACGUG